CGCGUAGGCGGUUGCCUAAGUCGGACGUGAAAUCCCCAAGCUUAACUUGGGAACUGCAUCCGAUACUGGGUGACUUGAGUUCGGGAGAGGAAUGUGGAAUUCCAGGUGUAGCGGUGAAAUGCGUAGAUAUCUGGAGGAACACCGGUGGCGAAGGCGGCAUUCUGGACCGAAACUGACGCUGAGGCGCGAAAGCCAGGGGAGCAAACG
rnacentral:rRNA from 1 species